GCAUGUGAGUGCAAGCUGGCUGCGACAUCUGUCACCCCAUUGAUUGCCAGGGUUGUUUUGGCUGAUCUGGCUGGAUAGGUGGGUGUCCCCUUCCUCCCUCACUGCUCCAUGUGUGUCCCUCCCAAAGCUGUGAGCUGAGUCACAGAAUAUGACCUUCCCUGAAUGAAGGAGGACCGGUCUUCGGUCAAGGGUAUAUGAGUAGCUGCGCUCCCCUGCUAGAACCUCGAAACAAGCUCUCAAAAAGAUGGAUAAAUAAGUACUUUCCAUGACAAAAGAAAGCUAAAGGAGUAUUU
rnacentral:snRNA from 1 species